rnacentral:piRNA from 1 species
UGAAAUGUUGUGAUGAAUUUU